GCUCGCUUUCGGAUCGUCUCACUGCUGCUCCCGACUGCACGCAAGGCUUCAGUAUUAGUCAGGAAAGGAGGGAGAACAAGAAGAGCAGAAAAUAACUCAUGAGUCAAGAGACAAUUGAAUAAGGGAAGGACAGAGUGAAAACAAAAAAAAAAGCUUUUUGCUCACACUUGGCCUACUGACUGGUACAAGAGGAGAAAGGAGAACAGAAGAAGAAGAGAGCCUUGAUGCUGUGCAAGCAUCAAAAAAGUAUUGGUGCUUGCCAAUGCUGGGAUAAAGGAGGAAGAAAUGGGGGAACAUUCAGAAUGAUGACAUUUGCCUCCCCAAAAUACACUAUGUGUGGUGAAUCCUGAUUCCCUGGAAUAGCUGAACACCUGCAUGAUGAUGAGAAGCAGUAAAUGAAUUCUUCACUUCAUUCUGCUUGCAUGUACAGUGUUGUCUCUACCUAGUAGACUGUCUUUAUCUCAGUUUGUGAUUUCUCAUACUUUUACCACUAACAUAGUGUUAAAAUGUUAAAAAUAAAUCUACUGUUAAUUAUACAAGAAAAAGUGCAGUUAUGUGAAAGGCAGAUUUUCCACUUCUCUUUGGAAGGUACUUACUGCAGAGAAACAGGAAUCUUGCAGCGUUAUAUCUGCAAUGCUAAAUCUAUAGGAUGUGCCACAGAAUGAGCUACAUUUUCCUGCAGUAAUUCCAACAGUAAUUAAUGAAUAUUGGAAUAUCCAGCCAGA